GUCCACGCCGUAAACUAUGGGUGCUAGCCGUUGGGAAGCUUGCUUUUCAGUGGCGCAGCUAACGCAUUAAGCACCCCGCCUGGGGAGUACGGUCGCAAGAUUAAAACUCAAAGGAAUUGACGGGGGCCCCGCACAAGCGGUGGAGCAUGUGGUUUAAUUCGAAGCAACGCGCAGAACCUUACCUACCCUUGACAUGUCUAGUAUUGGCACCGGAGACGGAGUCCUUCAGUUCGGCUGGCUAGAACACAGGUGCUGCAUGGCUGUCGU
rnacentral:rRNA from 1 species